AACGUGCUCGGCGCGCAGCUGGCCGGCCGGCCAGCCCAACGCCGCCAGAGCGCUCGCCGCGGGCGGACCCCGGAGCUGCUCCGCUUUGUUCCCGGCUCGCCUCCACUUCCCCGCCGGCGCCGGCCGGCUCCCGAGCGACCCUCACCUGCGAUCACGCCGACUGCCACUUGUCCACCUUCUCCACUACAAAGGCAACGAGGGGAGACCCCGUCCUCCCAGGGGACCGCCUCUCUCCGGCCCCGCCGCGCCCCUGGCUGCCGCUUCUCCCGCUGCCACUGCCCGACUCCGCGCGGGGAAUUGCGUCCCACCGCCACUUCCCCGCCUCUCGGAGCUCCUGGGAAGUUUCUGAUCUACUUUCGGCUCUGAAGGAGGAAGAGCUGUUGGGAGGAGCUUUUCACUCCUCGCUUCUACCUUUUUAUUGGCUACUCGAUGACUUUUACAGCCUGUCACUGAUACAGGAAGAGACAGCGGAGAGCCUGGGAGAACUACAUUAUUAAUUAAUGGAGCAACCCCUCGUGAAGAUUCAGAAGCAUCCUCCAUGUUUGAGAUUAUCAGCCAAAAGAUCUAGGGAAAGCGCUGGGGGUUCAUAAACACAUGGCUAACAAAGUAAAGCCUUCAAGUCUGGCACAGACUCUUGACUACACGAUGGGAAAAGGGAUUCCAAUUACGAUUUAACUUGUAUUUUAAAGAUGAGAAAAGAAAUGAAUAAGAAAAUUUGUUGCUAUUUUUCUUCUUCCAAAUUAGAAUCUAUAUCUCUAAAAAUACUUUGCAUGUUUAGUAAACAUCCAUCUUGAACAGAAGAUACCUUGACAUCAGUUCUAUUUAAUACUUAUGGCAAUUAAGAGAUUUAGAAAGCAGAGGAAAAGACCAAAAAAAAAGUAUGUGUUACAAAGUGUCAUCAUGCUUGUAGGACCCCAGCAUUCUUGAAACUAACGCACCUUUAAAAAGUAAUAUUUACACUGCUGUAAAUAUUUGCAAAGUAUCAAUGUUUAAUUCACUUAGAAUUUUAAGGAUUAUGGAUUUACUAGCGAAAAUUCCCCUAAAGCAACUUUCCCAUAUCAGUAACUUUUAUUUAGGGAAACAAGUUUAAUGUACAUAAUACAUGUGACCUUGGAAUUCAAUAGAAUUUUCGAAACUAGAAGUAACUCAGAACGUUCACUAGAUGUGUUUUAAAGUCUUUUUUGAUACUGUCCUUAACAUUUGCUUAUUUGCAAAUUAAUAUGUAAGAAUGAGUCUAAAAGUAAGUUUUAGGAAUGGUUAUUCGACAAAGAUGUUAUUCCUAUUACCAAUACUGCGAAAUGAUAAUUACAGAAACAAUGUGGGAUCCGUUUUAUAACUUCAAAUUUAAGUUCCUUUGUACUUUGGAGCAGAAAAUGUAAGAAAUCGAAAUCAAGAGUUAGUAUUUUUUAUCUUUCAGGCUGGCUUUAACUGUUCAUACACCUAGCAAAAUAAACAUUUGUGAAAGG
rnacentral:lncRNA from 1 species